rnacentral:rRNA from 1 species
UACGGAGGGUGCUAGCGUUGUUCGGAAUGACUGGGCGUAAAGGGCGCGUAGGCGGCUUGCACCGUCGGAUGUGAAAUUCCUGGGCUUAACCUGGGGGCUGCAUUCGAUACGUGUGGGCUUGAGUUUGGGAGAGGGAUGCGGAAUUCCAGGUGUAGCGGUGAAAUGCGUAGAUAUCUGGAGGAACACCGGUGGCGAAGGCGGCAUCCUGGACCAAUACUGACACUGAGGAGCGAAAGCCAGGGGAGCAAACGGG